rnacentral:rRNA from 1 species
UACGGAGGGUGCAAGCGUUGUUCGGAAUUACUGGGCGUAAAGCGUGCGCAGGCGGCUUUGCAAGACAGAUGUGAAAUCCCCGGGCUUAACCUGGGAACUGCAUUUGUGACUGCAUGGCUGGAGUGCGGCAGAGGGGGAUGGAAUUCCGCGUGUAGCAGUGAAAUGCGUAGAUAUGCGGAGGAACACCGAUGGCGAAGGCAAUCCCCUGGGCCUGCACUGACGCUCAUGCACGAAAGCGUGGGGAGCAAACAGG